AGUGAACGCUGGCGGCGUGCUUAACACAUGCAAGUCGAACGAGAACGGAAUAUAGCUUGCUAUAUUUGUCAGCUAAGUGGCGCACGGGUGAGUAAUGUAUAGAUAACCUGCCCUUAAGAAUGGAAUAACAGUUGGAAACGACUGCUAAUGCCCUAUAUGCCUUUAAUACAUAAGUAUGCAAGGGAAACGCUUUAGUGCUUAAGGAUGGGUCUGUAUGGUAUCAGCUUGUUGGUGAGGUAAUGGCUCACCAAGGCUAUGACGCCUAACUGGUUUGAGAGGAUGAUCAGUCACACUGGAACUGAGACACGGUCCAGACUCCUACGGGAGGCAGCAGUGGGGAAUAUUGCACAAUGGACGAAAGUCUGAUGCAGCAACGCCGCGUGGAGGAUGACACAUUUCGGUGCGUAAACUCCUUUUAUAUAGGAAGAUAAUGACGGUACUAUAUGAAUAAGCACCGGCUAACUCCGUGCCAGCAGCAGCCGCGG
rnacentral:rRNA from 1 species